CCCUUAGAUGUUCUGGGCGGCACGCGCGCUACAAUGGAUAACUUAACGUGUUACAUGUCCGAAAGGAUGUAUGCAAAUCACAAAUGUUAUGUCUCGAGUGGGAUAGUUUACUGCAAUUAUAGACUUGAACUAGGAAUCCCUUGUAGGUACACUGAAGCAUAGUGUACCGAAUACGUCCCUGCCGUUUGUACACACCGCCCGUCGUUUCUUCCGACUGAUACUCAUUGUGAAUUACGGGGAUAGUUCAAUCUAAAACCGUUGUGAAUGCUGGGUAUUGGAGGAAGAAAAAGUCGUAACA
rnacentral:rRNA from 1 species